rnacentral:rRNA from 1 species
UAAUACAUGCAAGUCGAACGCUUCUUUUUCCACCGGAGCUUGCUCCACCGGAAAAAGAGGAGUGGCGAACGGGUGAGUAACACGUGGGUAUCCUGCCCAUCAGAAGGGGAUAACACUCGGAAACAGGUGCUAAUACCGUAUAACAAUCAAAACUGCAUGGUUUUGAUUUGAAAGGCGCUUUCGGGUGUCCAUGAUGGAUGGACCCGCGGUGCAUUAGCUAGUUGGUGAGGUAACGGCUCACCAAGGCCACGAUGCAUAGCCGACCUGAGAGGGUGAUCGGCCACACUGGGACUGAGACACGGCCCAAACUCCUACGGGAGGCAGCAGUAGGGAAUCUUCGGCAAUGGACGAAAGUCUGACCGAGCAACGCCGCGUGAGUGAAGAAGGUUUUCGGAUCGUAAACGCUCUGUUGUUAGAGAAGAACAAGGAUGAGAGUAACUGUUCAUCCCUUGACGGUAUCUAACCAGAAAGCCACGGCUAACUACGUGCCAGCAGCCGCGGUAAUACGUAGGUGGCAAGCGUUGUCCGGAUUUAUUGGGCGUAAAGCGAGCGCAGGCGGUUUAUUAAGUCUGAUGUGAAAGCCCCCGGCUCAACCGGGGAGGGUCAUUGGAAAUCUGGGAGACUUGAGUGCAGAAGAGGAGAGUGGAAUUCCAUGUGUAGCGGUGAAAUGCGUAGAUAUAUGGAGGAACACCCAGUGGCGAAGGCGGCUCUUCUGGUCUGUAACUGACG